GGAGGCGUCGCAUAGUGGCCUAGUGCGCCCGCCUGCUAAGCGGGUUGGGGAUUCAUACCCCCUCGAGGGUUCGAAUCCCUCCGCCUCCGCCA
rnacentral:tRNA from 1 species